AGCCCUCCUUAUCGCCUGGAAAAAAUCAGGAGCUAGAGUUUGAAUGGGUUUUAUAUAAACACUCACCCCUGUCAGCGUGCGGCUGGGCUCUCAGGAUAAACUCACAGCGUCUGGCCCGAUGCUUGCCUUGCGUUCUCUCCCCUGAACGUCAAGGUUUAAGCAGAGCCCGAGGACUGGGAACUCUUCUCUGAAAUUCGACCAACCUGAAGCCAGUUGCGGAACUGCACAGGGUCCCGAUGGACCUCAAGGAGAGCCCCAGCGAGGGCAGCCUGCAACCUUCUAGCAUCCAGAUCUUCGCCAACACCUCCACCCUCCAUGGCAUCCGCCACAUCUUCGUGUAUGGGCCGCUGACCAUCCGGCGUGUGCUUUGGGCAGUGGCCUUCGUGGGCUCCCUGGGCCUGCUGCUGGUGGAGAGCUCUGAGAGGGUGUCCUACUACUUCUCCUACCAGCACGUCACUAAGGUGGAUGAAGUGGUGGCUCAAAGCCUGGUCUUCCCAGCUGUGACCCUCUGCAACCUCAAUGGCUUCCGGUUCUCCAGGCUCACCACCAACGACCUGUACCAUGCGGGGGAGCUGCUGGCCCUGCUGGAUGUCAACUUGCAGAUCCCGGACCCCCAUCUGGCUGACCCCUCUGUGCUGGAAGCCCUGCGGCAGAAGGCCAACUUCAAGCACUACAAACCCAAGCAGUUCAGCAUGCUGGAGUUCCUGCACCGUGUGGGCCAUGACCUGAAGGAUAUGAUGCUCUACUGCAAGUUCAAAGGGCAGGAGUGCGGCCACCAAGACUUCACCACAGUGAGUACUUGGUUUUCAGCUCACUCUGGUCCUCUGGAGAAGUGGUGCGCUGGUGGUCUCCUGCUUGGUUUGGGGUCUCCUUGUGCUUUGGGACAGGAGAGAGAGCAGUGCCUCACCCGAAGGCCACGAGGGUAG